rnacentral:rRNA from 1 species
AUUGAACGCUGGCGGCAGGCUUAACACAUGCCAGUCGAGCGGGGAAGAGUAGCUUGCUACUUGACCUAGCGGCGGACGGGUGAGUAAUGCUUAGGAAUCUGCCUAUUAGUGGGGGACAACAUCUCGAAAGGGAUGCUAAUACCGCAUACGUCCUACGGGAGAAAGCAGGGGACCUUCGGGCCUUGCGCUAAUAGAUGAGCCUAAGUCGGAUUAGCUAGUUGGUGGGGUAAAGGCCUACCAAGGCGACGAUCUGUAGCGGGUCUGAGAGGAUGAUCCGCCACACUGGGACUGAGACACGGCCCAGACUCCUACGGGAGGCAGCAGUGGGGAAUAUUGGACAAUGGGGGGAACCCUGAUCCAGCCAUGCCGCGUGUGUGAAGAAGGCCUUUUGGUUGUAAAGCACUUUAAGCGAGGAGGAGGCUACCGAGAUUAAUACUCUUGGAUAGUGGACGUUACUCGCAGAAUAAGCACCGGCUAACUCUGUG